rnacentral:rRNA from 1 species
AUUGAACGCUGGCGGCAUGCCUUACACAUGCAAGUCGAACGGCAGCACGGGAGCAAUCCUGGUGGCGAGUGGCGAACGGGUGAGUAAUAUAUCGGAACGUGCCCAGUCGUGGGGGAUAACGCAGCGAAAGCUGUGCUAAUACCGCAUACGAUCUACGGAUGAAAGCGGGGGAUCGCAAGACCUCGCGCGAUUGGAGCGGCCGAUAUCAGAUUAGCUAGUUGGUGAGGGAAAGGCUCACCAAGGCGACGAUCUGUAGGUGGUCUGAGAGGACGGCCAGCCACACUGGAACGUAGACACGGUCCAGACUCCUACGGGAGGCAGCAGUGGGGAAUUUUGGACAAUGGGCGCAAGCCUGAUCCAGCAAUGCCGCGUGCAGGAUGAAGGCCUUCGGGUUGUAAACUGCUUUUGUACGGAACGAAACGGCGAGCUCUAAUACAGUUUGCUAAUGACGGUACCGUAAGAAUAAGCACCGGCUAACUACGUGCCAGCAGCCGCCGUAACAC